rnacentral:lncRNA from 1 species
GGAAAUGCUGAGCCUCCAGGCCUCACCCCGUGAUGCUUCCCCUGCUCAGGUGUCUGCAUUAGGCAAUGAGCUCAGUAGCAGCAGAUGCAGCUCCCCAGGCCUCCCACACCAAUGCAGCGUUGCUCAAACCACGCACUUUGGGCAGAUUCACCCCACUUAUCUCCACGGGGCCUUCCCAGCCAGCAAACUGCUACGAGGGUGAGGAGAAGAAUAUGCAGCAGCUUCCUCAAUGUCAAGGAUUUGGACUCCUAAGUUCCCUGUGCCAGGCAAGGGAGCAGCUGAGAGUGUCUUCUCAGGAGCUGCAGUCCUGAAGCCUGGGGAACUGGGUCAUUGCUAGAAGAGGCGGCUCUCUGCAUGCCAGGAGAAACCCAGCCCAGGAGCUGCAGCCCGGCAAUCCCAGGACAGAAGCGAGAGUGCACCCUACAUCUUCUCAUUCUGCAGCCCUCAGCAUGGCACUUGGCACAGGGCAGUGGCUGGAUAAAUAUUUGCUGAGUUGUACUAAAUACAAAUAACAAGGUUUGAUUAAGGAUCGCAUGAAGGUUGGACACACCUUCUUGACAAUACGGAAAUAAUUUAGUUAAGAGUCACAGAUGCUCUACGCAGGAAAGAAAAUGAGUAAAAUAAAGGGAAACGUUUCCUACCUAUAGGGGGAAACAUCAUAAAUAUUAG